CGGGACCAUAGAGUCGCACCUCCCCCGCGGCGCGGGCGGUUGUCACUGAGGGAGGGGAGUCGCGCGAUCGUUUCCUGCUCCACCCCGUUCCGUCUGCACGCCGCGCCCCGGCUCGGCUGUGGCGCAUGCGCGCCGGGAGGGGCACCUGAGGGCGACGGGGCUCAGCCAUGGCGGCCUCCAUGAUCUGCAGCCGGGCGUCGGCCGGGCUGAGGGGCAGCGGUCUCCGCGCCGCGCUGGGCACCGCCACGGCGAAGGUACUUGGUGGAAGUCCAGGAAUACUCAAUAAUCAUGGAUUUCAGGUGCAACAACAGCAACAGAGGAAUCUGUCACUACAUGAAUACAUGAGCAUGGGACUGUUGCAGGAGGCUGGCAUUGCUGUUCCACAUGGACUAGUUGCCAAGACACCAGAGGAAGCUUACAAAAUAGCAAAAGAAAUAGGUUCAAAGGAUCUUGUGGUAAAAGCGCAGGUUUUAGCUGGUGGUAGAGGAAAAGGAACAUUUGAAGGUGGCCUCAAAGGAGGAGUGAAAAUAGUUUUUUCUCCAGAAGAAGCAAAAGAUAUCUCCUCCAGAAUGAUUGGAAAGAAGUUGUUUACCAAGCAGACAGGAGAAAAGGGCAGGAUAUGCAAUCAAGUAUUUAUCUGUGAGCGCAGAUAUCCCAGGAGAGAAUACUAUUUUGCAAUAACAAUGGAAAGGUCUUUUCAAGGUCCUGUGCUGAUAGGCAGUUCUCAGGGUGGUGUUAAUAUUGAAGAUGUUGCUGCAGAGAAUCCUGAUGCGAUAAUUAAGGAGCCUAUUGAUAUAGUGGAAGGCAUAAAAAAGGAGCAAACUGUUAGGCUUGCCCAAAAAAUGGGAUUUCCUCCUAAUCUGGUGGAUGAAGCAGCUGAAAAUAUGAUCAAAUUAUAUAAUCUCUUUCUGAAAUAUGAUGCUACCAUGAUAGAAAUAAAUCCUAUGGUGGAAGACUCAUCAGGAGUUGUGAUGUGUAUGGAUGCAAAGAUAAACUUUGACAGUAAUUCAGCCUAUCGUCAGAAGAAGAUCUUUGAUAUGCAGGAUUGGACACAGGAAGAUCAAAGAGACAGGGAUGCUGCAAAAGCAGAUCUCAACUAUAUAGGAUUGGAUGGAAACAUAGGCUGUUUGGUCAAUGGUGCUGGUUUAGCUAUGGCCACAAUGGAUAUAAUUAAACUUCACGGCGGAACUCCAGCAAACUUCCUUGAUGUUGGUGGUGGUGCUACAGUGCAGCAAGUGACAGAAGCCUUUAAGCUUAUUACCUCUGAUAAAAAGCAAACCGAUGGGAAACUGAGGCACACAGGCACAGAGCACCUCAAUUACAGAGAGAAGAGAAGAAACAAAGAAGAAUCUGGGAGUUGUUGAUUUGGGACAUGUUCUUACAAUGCCAGUCCUCUGCUGAUGCAUGAACAGAGGGUGUCCAAACAGACUUGUUAAUAGAUCUUUCCCUUUUUGCGUUCCUUCAGGUGCUCAUUGUUCUAUCAAAAAAUGAUGACUGUAGCUGUUAUUCCUGCUGCUGAAAGUCAGUGUGGUGCAGCCCACUGGUGUCAUGGACUACACUCUGGCUGCUGCUCUGGGUUUAGUUCAGGGAUUGUUUGGAAUAGCUUUCUGGGGUGUCAGUCUAAGUUUCUUCUACCCAUUAGUAGCAGGAGCAAGAACUAUCUUGCGUAGAUGAGCUAGUCUAAUUGCAGGAUAAUGAGAGCCAAGCUACCAUUUGUUAAGCAAUUGCACAUGUCUUCUUAAGUUUGUUCUGUCUUUCAGUGUUGUCUUCCCAUUUUUUGCCCCUUUUUUAUUCCAUCCUUCAUCAUUGACCAUGAUCUUUUUACUACUCCUUUCCACCACUUGAGUAGGAAAAUACUUCCCCUGAACCUCAGGCUCAGUCCUCCUGAAUAAAACAUAUUUCAGAGAGCUUACCUCUAAGCAUGCUAGCUUUUAAGUAGACUGUAUAAACCAUGUCUUAUGCAUGAGUUUUAUAAAUUUUCUGUGUUCUUUAGCAUGGCUUCUUCAGUAUAUGGAGGUACUAGUGCGGGAAGUACCUCUACUGGAGUAAUGUUAGGAGUGGAAAGAUAAACAGUCAACAGAUGAAGUUGUUAAAUGACUUUGCUGGAGUUUCAUCUGUUUGAUUUGCUUGAAAAAAAUCAAACAGCUCUCUUCAGAAUAUUCUAAACAUGAUUAAUAAUGUACAAUGUUGGGUUUAUACAGAAACUGAGUGUGUGUCUUUUCAAGCACCUACUCAGAAUACACCCUAUUAAGAGAAAUGGCUAUUGUCUGCAACUCAUGCUGGAUUAAAUGACAAUGUGGAAGUUUCCUGGGAUAGGCAUUUUCCCUGAAGUAACAGUUCUGCUGUAUGUGACUUGAUGGAAGUGCACUUUUGUUGCUGAUGUUCUCUAGAACAGAAAUGUUCCCUGUCUUGCAGAGUCUCUUGCUACACUUAAGAAGCUUGAAUUUUCCUUACACUGAAAGGCUGAGUGGUACUUUCAUCUGAUGUGUCUCUGACCAUUUUUAAUGUUAAUAUUGUCAUUGGCUCUGUAGGUACUGGCUAUUCUGGUAAAUAUUUUUGGUGGCAUUAUGCGAUGUGAUGUGAUAGCACAAGGCAUUGUUAUGGCAGUAAAGGAUUUGGACCUAAAAAUACCGAUUGUGGUACGGUUGCAAGGUACACGAGUUGAUGAUGCCAAAGCUUUAAUAACAGCUAGUGGCCUCAAAAUCCUUGCGUGUGAUGACUUGGAUGAAGCUGCAAAAAUGGUGGUGAAACUCUCCGAAAUAGUAAGCUUAGCAAAACAAGCUCAUGUGGAUGUUAAAUUUCAGUUGCCAAUUUGAAAUGGGGAAUGUAAUGCUGGUGUCUAACAUGUUCUCUGAAAUACUGUGUUCUGUGGGAUAGCUUUCGUUUUCUUGUGGAGGUUUUGAUUGUUUGACAGGUGCACAAACUGAAGUACCUGUUUUUAACGUUAACAUUCAGAAUGGUCAGAGUUCCUGUAAAAGCGUGUAUUGCUGAUCUUCUAGUCCUUCUUAGUUGUUUUCAAGCCUCCAGCUUCUGCUGCAGAAUGUCACUUGCAAUAUAUUUCUGCAUUGUCCAAAGUAAAGCUUCUGGUUGAAAAAUAAUUAUUCUGAAUAAAUUCUGAAGUUACUUUACUUGUAAAUUUGGUUAAAAGUAAGUAUGACUAGAUUAUCUAGUUGUCCAUGUGGAGAAGUGUAUUGAAACGGUAUUUUAUAUUGGAGACAGUUGUCCUUAGCAGUAUAAUGGACAUGAGCAAACCAAUCAUUAUUUAUGAACAGGUGCAUUUGAACUUGAUCAGAAACAUUUUUAGAAGUGCUUCACUGAAGUGGCUGGUAACUCUUCUGGGCAACGUGUUUAUUCACUACAAAAUAUACUGUAGCACUUAGAUUUUCACAUUUUCUGGUCCUUGCAAAAAAAGCAUUGUGUAGUUUUAUAUAUGAACAAGCAUUUACCAAACUUCAAGGAGACAGAAUACAUAGAGAAUUAAAAUGUCUAUUGUACAUCGCUAAUAAAAUUGUACAUUAAUAAAAUGUCUCCCAAAA